ACGGGAGGCAGCAGUGGGGAAUAUUGGACAAUGGGGGAAACCCUGAUCCAGCGACGCCGCGUGAGUGAAGAAGUAUUUCGGUAUGUAAAGCUCUAUCAGCAAGGAAGAAAAUGACGGUACUUGACUAAGAAGCUCCGGCUAAAUACGUGCCAGCAGCCGCGGUAAUACGUAUGGAGCAAGCGUUAUCCGGAUUUACUGGGUGUAAAGGGUGUGUAGGCGGCGAAGUAAGUCAGAAGUGAAAGACCGGGGCUCAACUCCGGGGCUGCUUUUGAAACUGCAUUGCUGGAGUCCAGGAGAGGCAGGCGGAAUUCCUAGUGUAGCGGUGAAAUGCGUAGAUAUUAGGAAGAACACCGGUGGCGAAGGCGGCCUGCUGGACUGGUACUGACGCUGAGGCACGAAAGCGUGGGGAGCAAACAGGAUUAGAUACCCUGGUA
rnacentral:rRNA from 1 species